CUUCACCGAGCCCAGCAGCAGCGGGCUGUCCGGGUCGCGGUCCUGGCCGUACGUGGCAAGCAGUGCCUGGGCCUC
rnacentral:antisense_RNA from 1 species